rnacentral:rRNA from 1 species
GAUGAACGCUGGCGGCGUGCCUAAUACAUGCAAGUCGAGCGAACAGAUGAGGAGCUUGCUCCUCUGACGUUAGCGGCGGACGGGUGAGUAACACGUGGAUAACCUACCUAUAAGACUGGGAUAACUUCGGGAAACCGGAGCUAAUACCGGAUAAUAUAUUGAACCGCAUGGUUCAAUAGUGAAAGACGGUUUUGCUGUCACUUAUAGAUGGAUCCGCGCCGCAUUAGCUAGUUGGUAAGGUAACGGCUUACCAAGGCAACGAUGCGUAGCCGACCUGAGAGGGGGAGCGCCCACACGGGAACUGAGACACGGCCAAGACUCCGGGGGGAGGCAGCAGGGGGGAAUCUGGGACAAUGGGCGAAACCCGGAGGGAGCCACGCCGGGUGGGGGAAGAAGGUCUUCGGAUCGUAAAGCUUUUUAAGGAGGGAGAAACAGUUGUAAAAUAAACUAUGCAGGUCUUGACGUUACAAAAAGAAAAAGCACCGGCUAACUUCGUG